GAUAAACAACACCUGGAACAAAUCCACCAUUCUUUUGGUGUUAUCGAUGGAGAACUCUAUCAGAAGGAGUGAGAAGAGUGAGAACCGUGGAAAGUGUCAUCUGGAAUGGUGCACUGGCCGGAAAAUGUGCUCGGGCGUUCCUAAAUAAAUCAGGAACUAUGCAAAAUAACCGAGGAGAGAGAGAAGCAAAUGAGGAAUCAACAAGAGAAGCCAUGAGUUGGGAACUCUUGAAGCCAGAGGGUGACGCUUCCUUGAAUUACUGAAAGCGAUAAGGACUGAGAAGAGGUUAGAGAGAUUGUUCUCUGAGGGAUGGAGGGCAGAGAAGAACGAGGAAGAGAAGAGGAGUGAUGGAAGGUUUCAGCAUCUGAGGAUAAGCUGGGACCGUCUUCAUCCUGCCUCUCCCACCAUGGGCUCCACGUGCCUCUGCUUUGUGGCCUUUUGCAUCCUGGGAACAGGCUCCCUGGAUGCUGCUGUAACCCAGAUCCCAAGGAACAAGAUCACAAACACAGGGAAGAGAACUGUACUGGAAUGUUCUCAGACUAAUGAUCAUGAGUAUAUGUACUGGUAUCGACAAGAUCCAGGAGAGGGGCUCCGGUCCAUCUACUACUCCUAUGAUAUCAAGUCUUUUAACCAAGGAGAGGUCGCCUCUGGGUACAAUGUUUCUCGCGAGGAGAAGGAAAGAUUCUUCCUAUAUCUGGAGUCGGCCUCCCCCAACCAUUCAGCCCUUUACUUCUGUGCCAGCAGUUAUUCACAUAGCACUUCCUGCCACCUGUUCUCUAAACAGAAAGGCCAGCACGUUUGCUCAGAAGGGCACGGAGGCUUCUUAGAUGUCACAUGUAGAGGUCUGAGUGGUUCUCAGUCUGAGCUUAGGGCCACCCUGGGCCAGAGUCCCCAGACCAUGGGAUGCCUCUGAAACCACAGGCUAGAUGGAACCUACCUCCCCGGCCUACAGACCCUCUUGAUCUGUUCUGGGGAGGCAAACCGAACACCAUCCUCCUAGGAGAAUGGACCUAAGCAUCCACUACCAAAUAUUUCUUGUUAGCUCAUCAACAGUGUGGUUUUUAAGGGUCCUUUGGCCUCUGUCUCCACACACCUUAUAAUACCCCAUCUGCAUCCUUUCUGUUCCUGCUGAUGAGACCUCUAUCCUGCCAGCCCUUUCUCAGUCCUGGUCUCUCCAAGCUUCUGCCACUCUUUCGCUCUGUAUUUGGUGGCCUUUAUGCCAAGAACAAUUGGACUAGCUUGUUUUUAAAGCUUCAUUCUAAGUACAUUUAAUUACCAUUCAAUCUGACUCCAAAAGUGAAGUUCAAGUACUAGAAACUGUGAUCUAUAAUAGUUAUCUUCUGAGAGUUCCUGAUGCAGCUUCUUGGGUUAAGAACCCAACUAGUAUCCACGAGG